rnacentral:rRNA from 1 species
GGACUACAAGGGUAUCUAAUCCUGUUUGCUCCCCACGCUUUCGUGUCUCAGCGUCAGUACUCGUCCAGUUGGCCGCCUUCGCCACCGGUGUUCCUCUCGAUAUCUACGAAUUUCACCUCUACACCGAGAAUUCCACCAACCUCUCCGGUACUCAAGCCACGCAGUUUCGGGUGCACUUCCCGGGUUGAGCCCGGGGAUUUCACAUCCGACUUGCGCGGCCGCCUACACACGCUUUACGCCCAGUAAUUCCGAACAACGUUUGCACCCUCUGUCUUACCGCGGCGGCUGGCAC